rnacentral:rRNA from 1 species
GACACGGUGACGUGGGGCGGAUCCCUGAAAACCGGUCUCAGUUCGGAUCGCAGUCUGCAACUCGACUGCGUGAAGGUGGAGUCGCUAGUAAUCGCGGAUCAGCAACGCCGCGGUGAAUGCGUUCCCGGGCCUUGUACACACCGCCCGUCAAGUCAUGAAAGUGGGCAGCACCCGAAGACGGUGGCCUAACCCUUGUGGGGGGAGCCGUCUAAGGUGAGGCUCGUGAUUGGGACUAAGUCGUAACAAGGUACC